rnacentral:snRNA from 1 species
AUACUUAUCUGGCAGGGGAGAUACCAUGAUCAUGAAGGUGGUUUUCCCAGGGCGAGGCUUAUCCAUUGCACUCUGUGUGCUGACCCCUGCGAUUUCUCUAAAUGUGGGAAACUCGACUGCAUAAUUUGUAGUAGUGGGGGACUGCAUUUGCGCUCUCCCCUU